GUCCACGCCGUAAACGAUGAGUGCUAGGUGCUGCGGGUAUUGACCCCUGCGGUGCCGUAGCUAACGCGUUAAGCACUCCGCCUGGGGAGUACGGCCGCAAGGCUAAAACUCAAAGGAAUUGACGGGGGCCCGCACAAGCGGUGGAGCAUGUGGUUCAAUUCGACGCAACGCGCAGAACCUUACCUGGGUUAAAUCCACUCGAAGCUGGCAGAGAUGCCGGGGUGCCCUUCGGGAACGAGUGAGAAGGUGCUGCAUGGCUGUCGU
rnacentral:rRNA from 1 species